UGGGGAAUCAUGGUCAAUGGGCGAAAGCCUGAACCUGCGACGCCGCGUGAGUGAUGAAGGUCGUAAGAUCGUAAAACUCUUUUCAGGGAUCUUAACGCACAGCUGUCAACAACAGCUGUGUCUGACUCUCCCUGGAAGAAGCCCCAGCCAACUACGUGCCAGCAGCUGCGGUAAUACGUAGGGGGCGAGCGUUAUUCGGAAUUACUGGGUGUAAAGGGUAUGUAGGCGGCCCUUCAAGUCGCGUGUCAAAGUCCAGUGCUCAACGCUGGGUGUGCGCGCGAUACUGACGGGCUUGAGGGCUGGAGAGGUGAGCGGAAUUCCCGGUGUGGUGGUAAAAUACGUAGAGAUCGGGAGGAACACCAGCGGCGCAGACGGCUCACUAGACAGUUUCUGACGCUAAGAUACGAAACCUAGGGGAGCGAGCC
rnacentral:rRNA from 1 species